AGACUUGGCUAUUAACAAAGUAGUGCUAGGUCCUCAGCGUUCGUUCUUACUCUCUAUUUUCUCGAGUUGGUUUCUCUUUAUUCACCUUUUGCUUUCUAUUUUCAUUAUCACUAUUCAUUUGGUAUCUUGGUUUGUCUUUGUUUAGUCUCCACCCUCUUUCUCCUUACCUUAUUUUUUGAUUUGUAUGUCUAAGUUAAGAAUGAGAGGCUAGAUAAACAAACAGGAAAAUGCUCAGUUUGUUCAGGCCUUAGGGACGUAUUCCAUCACUGUCCACCAACAAGUUCAACUCCGAAAACGGUUCACUGAUAAUGUGGGCCGGUGCACCAUGUCAGCAACGUCGACGGCCUGACAGGCCAUUUUCCAACUAGGCCUAUUGUAAAUGACGAGACCAUGAGGAUGUAAUCAGUAAUAUUGCUCCUGAAAAUGAAGAUGUACUUUGCCGUUCCACUAAUCUCGGCAAAAGAGUAGAUUAUGGUGCCCUUUGUGCUAUAGUGGAAUUGAAUCACAAAAAAUUCUA
rnacentral:rRNA from 1 species